GUUAUACUUAAAUCUUGCUUUUGAAUUCAAGCAGGAUUGAUGCUGCUGUGGCUAUUUUUUGGGCCUUGCUGUUUAGCGUGCUUCUGGUAUCAUCGUAUAUUUCCCUUUACUUAAGACAUUACUGGAUAUCCUUCAUAAUUAUAUGCCUUGCUAUCUUUCUUCCUGUACGUUUGAGAACUUCACGACGGACACUUGCAAAGAAAAGGGAGAGGAGAUUGAUGCUACCUUUAUCCAUGUAAAUGCCGUUGAUGAUUGCCAAUGAAUGGGCACAUCAUUUGGCUGCAUUAAACUAGGUUUUUGGUGACAUCUCAAGAAAUGCAAGGCUCCAACAUCAUUUAUGUACACUUGCCAACCUGAUAGGAGAAUGGUAAAAUGGAAUUAUUUGAGCAAAAGUUGGAGUCCUAGCUGCCCUUUAUUGAGUUGUGGUGUCUUAUCAGGAAAAACAAAAGAUUUCAGCUGAAAUUUAUUCGAUGUUUAAUUGAAAUUUUAAGGUAAAUUGUAAAACAAAGUGCCCGGCAUAGUAGGUAUAAGGGAAUCUCUGCCAUAGUGGUAUCUAUAUUUUUUAAGUAGCUGAAUAACUAAUUGCAGUUGGCUCCCUACCC